ACGGGGCCCGCACAAGCGGUGGAGCAUGUGGUUUAAUUCGAUGCAACGCGAAGAACCUUACCUGGUCUUGACAUCCCGGAGACCCUUAGGAAACUAGGGGGUGCUUCCAUCUGGAAGAAUCUGGAGACAGGUGCUGCAUGGCUGUCGUCAGCUCGUGUCGUGAGAUGUUGGGUUAAGUCCCGCAACGAGCGCAACCCUUGCCUUUAGUUGCCAGCAGUUCGGCUGGGCACUCUAAAGGGACUGCCGGUGUUAAACCGGAGGAAGGUGGGGAUGACGUCAAGUCCUCAUGGCCUUUAUGACCAGGGCUACACACGUACUACAAUGGCCGAUACAAAGGGCAGCGACACUGCGAGGUGAAGCCAAUCCCGUAAAAUCGGUCUCAGUCCGGAUUGGAGUCUGCAACUCGACUCCAUGAAGUUGGAAUCGCUAGUAAUCGUGGAUCAGCAUGCCACGGUGAAUACGUUCCGGCCUU
rnacentral:rRNA from 1 species